CCGUUCACCUAGCCGCCAUUUUGCGCACCGGGCGCUGAGCAGCAGCAGCCGCCGCGGCCGGAGCUCUCUUCUCAUCUCCGUCUCUUCCCUCCGCUACACCAUGUCGCGGGAUCGCUUCCGUAGCCGUGGUGGCGGUGGAGGCGGCUUUCAUCGGCGUGGCGGCGGUGGUGGCCGCGGCGGCCCCAACCACGAUUUCCGCUCGCCGCCGCCCGGCAUGGGCAUGGGACAGAACCGCGGCCCGAUGGCGGGCGGCCCGCAAGGCCCGGGCGGUCCGCCGGGAGGAGGCCCGAAACCCGAACCUCCGAAGCCGCCCACGUCCACCUCUGCUCCGCCUUCUUCAUCCUCCUCAGCCUCCGCCACCACGGCGGGACCCACCGGCAGCCAGGCGGGAGCGCCUCCAUCAUCUGCGCUUCCUGCGGGGCAGCAACCACAGCAGCAGCCGCCAGUUUCGGCUCCUUCCUCGUCUCCCUCCGGUCCACAGCCGCAAACCAAGCCCAGCCCUAGCCCCACGCCGGCCGGCGGCCCUAAGAAAGGACAAGGACAGUCUCCUGUCGGUGGCCCCAAGGGGCCAGGGGGCCCGCAGCAGGGGCCGCACAAGGGCGGCCCAGGGCACCGCGGCGGGCCGGGCGGGGAACCGCGGGGCCGCGGGCAGCAGCACCCGGGCCAGCAGAGCCUUGGUACACAGCAGGGCUCAGGAGAAAGGAGUGAGAAGCUGUCGGACGAGGGGUUUAAAGCGAACCUCUCUCUGCUGAGGCGACCUGGGGAGAAGACGUACACACAGCGCUGCCGGUUGUUUGUUGGGAAUUUGCCUGCUGAUAUCACAGAUGAAGACUUUAAAAGACUGUUUGCCAAAUACGGGGAGCCAGGAGAGGUGUUUAUCAACAAGGGGAAAGGCUUUGGAUUCAUUAAAUUGGAAUCUAGAGCUCUUGCGGAAAUCGCAAAGGCAGAGCUGGACGAUACCCCCAUGAGGGGCCGGCAGCUCCGUGUUCGCUUUGCCACUCAUGCCGCUGCCCUGUCCGUGCGGAACCUCUCACCCUACGUAUCCAACGAGUUGCUCGAGGAAGCUUUUUCCCAGUUCGGUCCGGUGGAAAGAGCUGUUGUGAUUGUAGAUGAUCGAGGUAGAUCAACAGGAAAAGGCAUUGUUGAGUUUGCAUCAAAGCCAGCUGCAAGGAAAGCAUUUGAACGGUGUACUGAGGGAGUGUUUUUGUUGACAACCACUCCCAGGCCAGUUAUUGUGGAGCCAUUGGAACAACUGGAUGAUGAAGAUGGUCUUCCAGAAAAGCUUGCUCAGAAGAAUCCAAUGUAUCAAAAGGAAAGAGAGACUCCUCCCCGUUUUGCUCAGCCUGGCAGUUUUGAAUUUGAAUAUUCCCAGAGAUGGAAAUCUUUAGAUGAAAUGGAAAAGCAGCAGAGAGAGCAAGUGGCAAAAAAUAUGAAAGAUGCCAAGGACAAGCUUGAAAGUGAGAUGGAAGAUGCUUAUCAUGAGCAUCAGGCAAACCUCCUGCGUCAAGACCUCAUGAGGCGCCAGGAGGAACUGAGGCGUAUGGAAGAACUCCAUAAUCAGGAAAUGCAGAAACGCAAGGAAAUUCAGCUGAGGCAGGAGGAGGAGCGUCGCCGGCGGGAGGAGGAGAUGAUGAUCCGUCAGCGGGAGAUGGAAGAGCAGAUGAGAAGACAGAGGGAAGAGAAUUAUAGUAGAAUGGGUUACAUGGAUCCAAGGGAGCGAGACAUGAGAAUGGGUGGUGCUGCCACAAUGAACAUGGGAGAUCCUUAUGCUUCAGCAGCCCAGAAAUUCCCACCUCUGGGAGGUGGUGGCGGCAUAGGUUAUGAAGCUAAUCCAGGAGUUGGCCAAGCAGCCAUGAGUGGUUCUAUGAUGGGAAGUGACAUGGUAACGUAUCCUGUGGUGGCUUUAGCUUAGCACAAGGGAGUUGUUGUGGUUGGGAAUGAGUUCUCCAGUGUUUGGAUGAUUGUGGAAAUGUCACUGUUAACUGCUGACUCUCUUGUCAGGUGUUUAACACAGGACAACGUGGCAGUGUGUAGCACUAGAGUAGUUGAUAUUCUUUAUGGUAGCUUACACACUCAGAAAUUGUAAGUGAAUUCAAAUGUGCUCUUAAGCAUAUUUGCAAUUAACUGACUUCAUUGGACUUUGGAAAUUCUGCGUCACUGUUAGGCUUGGAAGGAUUUUUAUGAAUUCUAGAGAAUCUGACAAAUUUCAUCAAAAUGCUUAAUGUGGUAGCUUUUCAGUAAUUUGAUGUUCUGUAUUGAUGGACAAGAGAGAUUUUUUUUUUUGGUUCUCCUUCCCAAUGUGUAACACUGUUUUGGCCCUUCCAAGCCUAGGUAGGCUGGAUGCAUGUUGGUCUGGGUGUGCUGUUUAGUCCAAAAUCUGCGCUCAGGUCUGUUCCAGCAGCAGAUUAACUUAAGUAAUCAGUGGUAAACAGCAUAUCCCUUAGUCUGUGCUGAUGUUACUGUGGAAGAGCAGAAAUGCUGGUUUUUAGCUUCAGGCAUGUUCCAGCUAUCCUGGACUGUGUAGCCAUUUGUAGUUCCUGUCUCCCAAAGGAACGUAGCCCGGUCUGUUUUCCUGUGUUGGGCAUGACACAAAGGUAGAGCCCGUUAAAGCUACAUCAUAUCUCCUGUUCUGAGGUAUGUUUCCAAACUGUACUAAUUUGUGGCACACUACAUGUGUGACUGGGCUUUGGACACUGAAGCACCACGGAUGCAGAUUACAGAAGUGCUUAAUGGGCAGGAUGGGAAUCUGUUGGCUUAGGUGACGAUACCAGUGUGCUUUCACCCUCCUGAAAGGGUGUACACUUGUAGCACAAGCUGAACUAAAUGAUUUUUGGGUGGGUUUAGGCCUCUGGCUUAAUGAGCUGAGCUACCAUAGUAGCUUGUCAGAUAUCUUCUGUUUUAUCUUUUUGGGGAACAUAUCUUUGGAAUGGUGACUUCAGAGAACAUCAUUGAUUCGGUAGACAGUGCUGUUGGCCUUAAAGUAUCUCAGUAACCUUACUGAUAUGUAAGCAGUUUCUGAGCUUCCUGUGAGCAGUUAGGCAGUGUGUGCUGGAUACUAUAUACAUUUUUCUCCUGAGAAUCACGGUGCAGGUGCAUGUUGAACUUGUGUAAUAUAAAUAUGGUCUGGUCAAAAGAUGUGACAGUGAGUUGGAUUAACUUCCUGGAGUUUCUUAGGCUGGGGAUCUCUGCCACACAAUGCUGUCACAGUUCUUGGGCUGAUAACUUUAAACAGAACUGGAGAUGAGUUGAAGCUGCCAUGAAUUAGGCAGAAAUAACCUAAGUAAUACUUCUGGAACUCCUUUCUUGGAAGGAUUGAUGCUGACUUUCACCAGUCAGAAGCUCUGAAGUGUGCAUUUUCAGUUGCAGAUACUUUUUGUAACAAACCAGCUACCAUUAUUCUGUGACUCGGUAGUGGGAACCUUGGUUGAAAUGGAAAUUUAAAGCUCUCUUUGACAUCAUAAUGUGUAAGUUCUGUAGGUUGAAUGCUGAUCACACCUAGUAAUGCAGUAACUGAACAAAGUACAUGCAACUAGAGGUACUAGUAAAUAGACCUGAAGUCUCUGCUUUAUUGCAGAGUAACUUAUCUCUUAACACUUUGGUGUGAAACCUUUCAACUGCUGUGAAACUGUGAAUUUUCCAAGAGCUUGUGGUGAAGGUGGGGCGGGAGGGGAAGUACUGCCUGGAUGCACACAACCCUCUGUGCAUAGCUCUAACUGGAAACGCUGAGUGCUUGGAACACGUUUUGCAUCUGAUGCAGCCACCGGCAGCUCCGGAGUAUGUUGGGUUGGAACGAGUGCCAGACUUGGCUUGAGCAGUUGCGUUGGUUAGGUAAAGCACUGGUCAGUAGCUUUUUUCACAUUUUUUUUUUUCUUCUUGCAAUGCAGUAGUGCUCACAAUGAGUUUUGGUACUGCCAAAGGCCUCUGCAGUUUAGUCAGCAGACCGUAGUCUUAACCCCAUCUUGAAAAGCACAUGGUCUCUAGACAGCACAUGCCAGUCCUGCGUCCUGAACGCUUUGGGCAGGGAGGUGCGGGGCCCGUGGGUGGCCAGGGUCCUAGAGGAAUGGGGCCUGGAACACCAGCAGGAUAUGGUAGAGGGAGAGAAGAAUAUGAAGCCCCA